GGGUGCAAGAAGAUUGAUAAUCAUGUUGGUGGUAGAAUAUGAUUCGUCAAACAGAAAUAAUAAAGAUUAUUAAGGGAUUUAAAACUAAGAAAGUCUACGUGGAACGUUUUACUGGUUUUGGCCAUGUUUAUUUUUAUUUUUAUUUUUUUUCGCACUUCCCAACCAAGUUAGGUUACCAAUAUUGUACAAAUUAAUAUAAGCGUGGCUGCGUAGAAGAAGUGGAGAAAGUCACAAUUUGGUUAAAAUCGCUAUUACUAGUUAAUUCGGUUUACUUUCUUAUAAAUAUGUUAAAAAUACAUACUGUAUAUAGAACUGAACCCAAGCUAGCAACCCAAAAAUCAGUUUUCUACUAAACAACUGAUAUGGUCACAGCAACAGAAUCGUCAAGGCAUCAAUAAGUAAG
rnacentral:lncRNA from 1 species